rnacentral:rRNA from 1 species
UGGGGAAUAUUGCACAAUGGGCGCAAGCCUGAUGCAGCCAUGCCGCGUGUGUGAAGAAGGCCUUCGGGUUGUAAAGCACUUUCAGCGAGGAGGAAGGGUUCAGUGUUAAUAGCACUGUUCAUUGACGUUACUCGCAGAAGAAGCACCGGCUAACUCCGUGCCAGCAGCCGCGGUAAUACGGAGGGUGCAAGCGUUAAUCGGAAUUACUGGGCGUAAAGCGCACGCAGGCGGUUUGUUAAGUCAGAUGUGAAAUCCCCGCGCUUAACGUGGGAACUGCAUUUGAAACUGGCAAGCUAGAGUCUUGUAGAGGGGGGUAGAAUUCCAGGUGUAGCGGUGAAAUGCGUAGAGAUCUGGAGGAAUACCGGUGGCGAAGGCGGCCCCCUGGACAAAGACUGACGCUCAGGUGCGAAAGCGUGGGG